rnacentral:lncRNA from 1 species
GCUGCACCUGUAGCAUAUGGAAGUUCCCAGGUUGGGGGUCCAAUCAGAGCUACAGCCUAUGCCACAGCUACAAUACUGGAUCCUUAACCCACUGAGUGAAGCCAGGGAUCGAACCUGCAUCCUCACAGAGACAUCAAGUCCUUAACCCACUGAGCCACAAUGAGAACCCCUGUUUCCACUUUUUAAUAAUGACAGAGUUUCCACUUUUCACUAGAAGAGACUGCUGGAAGAAAUAUUAUCAGCCUCUGUUCCUGACUCUUGAUCAGUUCCUUCCUCAGAUCGGAUUUGUCUGAUUAUCCAGAAUCUAUGAUGUUGCUGGGAUGCUUUUCAUAAGCGAGUACAAUCACUGGGAGCUAACGAGCAGUUAAAGAUAAGCCCUCUUGUCCUUUCCACCAUGUCCUUCACAAACUGCUAGUGUGGUAAAAGAAGUGCCUCUCUCUCUAGCCUCCCCACUUCCUCUUGCUACCUCCUCUACUUUACUCUCUUGUCCAUGGAUUAAAUGAUCCUUGGCCACGAAGGGCAAGCAGUCCAGGACAACUUGGCAUUAGGCACUGGGGGCAAAUCACCUCUUUCUUACCCCUAUCUCAUUUGAUGGUUAGGUUUCACAGCAGGUUUACACGCACACAUGCUUAGAUUGUAAUGAUGCAGUUACAGAACAGGCAGAAACACAUUGAAAAAGAGACUUCAUCUAAUCUACUCUAAGCAGCAUCUGGCAAUAGUUUUCUCAAGAGCCCUACACUGGGAGGGCUUGGCCAACCACAUUCUCUUUCUCUAUAAACAGUACAGCAGCUUAAUAAGUUAUGAACAUAAAUAAUUGCUCAAUCAACUAGUUCAAGUUAAAACUAGAAAUUACAGGCAAAGAAACAGUCCUUAAAUAUUUUUAGACAUAACACUUGAUUCUCAUUAGAUUAUUUGAUCUUUUUUUUAAGAACUCAGCAUAAACUUUGGUGUUCUUUUUCAAUUUGCAUUAGCAUAUAGACAUACAUUUUUAUGUAUUCUAUGAGCAGAGUUUUCAAUUUUCUAUUUUCAAGUUGCUGCUAAUGAUAAUCAUUUUGUUCCAAGUACCAAGAGGAAAUCCUUGGUCCCUAUUAACAGCUGCACCUAGCAUCUUGCCCAAAGAAGUGUUCUUUCUUAAUCACAUAAGAGAGAGCUGACGAGGGAUGACAUGGUAACCAUAUGGCAGUUUGGCAAAGGCAGCAAAUGCAGGCCAAAACAGAGUUUGGGCUAAGUGAAAUCCUCUCACAAAGGUCGUGAAGAUCUGUAAGCAAUUCUCUGCAUUCUGAUGAAAUCUGUCUUCUGACCAUGACCUGUUUCUUGUGCAUAGAUAAUCCCAUUAUCAAGAAACAGCUACUGCGGUGGUUCUGAACACAAUGUACAACAAGGCUUUGAACUUUCCCCACAAUGACUGUGACAGGAGUUACGAUGGAGCAGAUUGCUCCAGGCAAACAUGGAUAGGAAUGCUCAUAUUUACUUUUCAGGAGGAGUCUUUUCUGCAGGUAGUGUCUGACCCAGCGCUGGGUGGUUUUAACCACUGUUCUAGAUGUGUUUGCCAAGUCACGUGGUGUUUUUUUUUUGUACUUUAGCUUUUUGAUCAUCUAUAGUUAUUAAAUAUUAAAGCCAAAUCACAAUGCACAAAUCUUUAAUUCUCUGUAGUCUCAUGUCUCUGUCAGAAAGACUAUCCCAGAAAACCCUUUACUGUUCCAUAAACAAUGAAAUAAAAGCAGAUGUCGAUUCAACCCCACAUGCUCCUUCUCUAGUGGUAACUAUAAAUAUCAUGUGCCAUCACACUAAACUAUGCAUUCUAUGUUUCUUUCUCCCUAGUAAACAAUAAAACAUACUAUAUCGAAAAUAUUCCAUUCGCUUCCUUCCAAUAAUAUUUAAAUUUAAACAGACACUCAUAGCUCUUUGUUAGAAAAAUAUCAGGGAUAAAAUCACUUAAUGAGGAAACGAGACCUUUAAGAACCACAUGUUUGCCAUCCAAUGGCAAAAGUAAUAUAUUUUUGCAUAUAAAGCAAAUAUAUGGAGAGAGAAAGGAAAGGAGAGAGAGAAAGAAAAAAAUAAAUUCUGCACAGAGUAACAGGGUAAGAAAAAAGGAGCAUAAAAUAUUAAACAUAGAUAAUGUUACUAGGGUAUAUAUGUUUUUACACACACACACACACACACAUAUCUACGUAUACACACUAAACAUGCCUUCACACAUUUACAUGCCCACUGCAUUUCAUAAGCCAACUAUCUCAGAUUUGGAAUUACAAAGCUAAAAGGGCAUUGAGAGGUCAUCUGAGGAGAUCCUUUCCUUAGGUAGUUUAAUGCUUAAACCAUCCAAAGACCUGGCUAUCUAUUCUAUUUUAAGAGCUCUCUGGGGAUGGAGAUUCAUUAUAGACCACAAUGUAUUGUACUUGUAAUAGACUCACAGGUGCCUUUCUUGACAAAACCACAUUUCACAGAUCCUUGGUCUGACAGGCUUUAGAGGGUACCUUCUAAAUGCAUACUUCCUUCCUUCUGUGACAGCACAGAGGCUAAAGGAUUUAGUGUCACUUGAAAAUGCAGUGGAAGAGUUCAAAAAGGUACGGAUUUGUAUGUUAAAAUGACGUUAAUUUUUGCAACACUGCUGUUAGCCACAGCCCCUGGGCUAACCCACGGCAAAAACAUAAAAAAGGUGAAAUUUGCUUUCCGAGUCCAUCCCCUCUUAAACCCUCUUGAUUUGCUUGGAGCAACCUUCUCUUGCCAUUAUGUAUCACCACUGUAUCAGGUUCUGAUAGUAACAGUAUCCUGUCCCUAUAUCUCACUUACUCAGUUCACUUCUCUGAAAAUUAUUAAUGUAAAAAACACUAAUUCAGGCUGAGAUAUUAAGGAGCUUCUGAUUGGAUAACAACAUUUCACAGUUACUAGAGAGUUUAUAAUUUACUAAGUGCCACACAUACUGAGAAUUCCACGAAAAUAACGGUCUCAAUAUUUUCAAAUUUCAUCAUUUAUUACACAAUCUACUAAAUGUAUGCAUAAGAGUGGCCCUGCCAAACCCAAUCCUGCCUUCAAAACUUUGGAAAACUUCUAAAUAUAAAAUGUAUCAUGCUGAAACCCUGUUCAUUACAAAGGAUACUAAAAAAGCAUAUACCCACUGUCACUAGUGAAAAUAUGACUGGUACUGCAUUUUUUAAAAAUCCUUAAUUCUACUUAAAAGGAAAUAAAUUAAAAGACAUUCUAGAGGAACAUACAUUAGUAUCCAUACUUUAUAGCCCAAGUGGGUAUAUGAAGUUGGUGGUGCAGGGAGGGCUCUGGAGUAAAAUGGGAGGCAGGAAGAAUAAAUAAACAGAAUUUGCAAAGAAUUAUUUGAAUAAAUGUUCUUCUUGCCAAGAAAUGCUACUACUUAACUGCUUCCAAAGAGUAAACCAAUCUAAAAGGAGGCAGUGGAUUUGCAUGGUAGAAAAUUGGAGCGCUUCCUUUCAGCUACAGCUUUCACUCUCAAGAGCACAAAGAGAGGAAUUUUAGCCAAUUUUCUGACUGAUUUUUUUUUUGCUGUUGAUGAGCUUGCUUUUUAUUCUGCAAUUGUUUCUAAUGUCUUCCAAAAAGAAAGAAUGACACUAACUCUUUUAUUUGAAAUUGUGUAUCACAUGAUCAGUAAUUACAGAUACAAAGCCUUUUCAUCUUUAAAAGGAUAGCCCAUCCUUCAAGACACUAUAUUCAUCCACGGUAUUUACUCAUAUUUAUCACUUCUUCCUCAAAGCAAAGUGAGACAGAAUAAAAGGAAUCAAAGUACUAUAAAAGACAUUUUAAAAAUAGCAAAUAAAUGUUAAAUAAAAUAUUAUUUUCAGUGCAGACUUCUUAUAAAUUUGCUUAAACCAAGUUUGUGAAGCUUCUUUAAAUGGCAAAAAAAAAAAAAAAAAAAAAAAAAAAAAAAACCCUCAAAUUUCAAAUGAAGCUUCCGGAGCAGCCAAUUAAGGAACGCCCAUGGUCCAAUGGUGUAGGGAUAUGUGUUUAUUUAUGUGUGUUUAGUUUAAGGAGGAGUGACUUCGUGUGUGAGAGUGAAGUGUAAUAAGGUGGGGGGUAGGUACUAAAAGGGCAUACUUUGAAGGGUGGCAAAUAUAGCCACCAUAUUUCAUCAAAUCUAAGAUAUCACUGAUUUUAAGACAUGUUGCUAUUUUAUGCAUCACUAAGAAUGAAAAAAAAAUGCUUCCAAUUUUAUUAUGAGAGUGUUUUAUUAUUGUACUAAUUUUGAGGAGGUAUCCUUGUUCUCAGAGAUGUUAAAAUGUAAAAAAAAAAAAAAAAUUAAAAUGUCAUUUGUCAACAGGUUUUAGAUUCUCACACUGAGUCAUCCCUGUAAAUAAGGUUAUGAUUCUAAAAAGGCCUUUUUAAAAUGCAAAUAUUUUACCCAGGAGGUUUAGCAGAUUAAGCCAUUAACAGUCAUUAUGAUGCAUUAAUCUAUCAGCAGUCAUUAAAACUGUAAGGAAUAUUAAUUUAUCAGAUUACCAGAGCAAAGAGGAGAGGAGAAAAGGAUGCAGAAAGAAAUAUAAAGAGUAGGUGCUAGGCUUGUAGACUUUGCCUAGGCUACCACACAAAAGAGGCUUCUGGCACACUCGGAAGAGGAAAAUGAGGGAAUCUCAGGCUGAAAAGUUGUGCUUUGAGGAUACAAAGCAAAAGAGGAUGAGAGGAGGGAAAAAGGCAAAAACACAAAACUAAAAAGCACCCUUGGCGGCUUCACUUAUAUCCUAACAAGAAGACAAAUUAGAGAUUCUUAGGAUAGAGGAGAUACCCCUAAAGAAAGCACACUUCUAUUAAGGCUUCCGAGAACAUUCAAAAAUGGAUUUCCUAAUGAUGUUACAUGUCGAUGUGUAAUUUUUAUAGUGUGAACUGAUAAAUACUUCACCUGUUCUCAAGACUAGGAAACAGUUUAUUCCCAAGUGGUUUCUAUUUCUAUGUUGUGAUCUGUAACAUCUUUUCCUCUCUUGAAGGCUUCAGAAAGACACUGAUUUAUAUUCUGGUGAGGCGCAAUAUUUGCUUUUGAUACUAAGAUCAGGGUUCAAAGUCACCCAGGGUCAAACAUCUUAGGUUUUAUAUCCAGUAAUGCCACUGACUUUCUACGAGAUGUGCAGAAAUGAUUUAAAUGUAUGCCACACGAGUAUAACUACCUGACACAUAUCCCUUGAGGAAGACAGAAGCCAUUUUUACUUUAUGAUAGAAACACCAUAUACAAAUGUGGAAUGUGCUGUAGGACUAUGGGCAACUCCCUUAACCUUUCAGCUUCCUUAUCUCUAAAGUAGAGAAACUAACAGUGACCUAAAGACAGUGUCCCAAGCAGAUUAUUUCUUGGUAAUCAGGAUCCGAGAUUUGUUGCUCUAUUCUACUCUUAGAUAUGUGAAAUAAUUGUGAGCUAUUGAACACAUAUACUCCUCAGAAAUGGGUAAUUUUGCAACUCAGUAUGAAAAUGUCUAAUUGUGAGGAAUCUAAUAUAGCACAAUAUGAGCUGCAAUUCGGCUCAGCAAACACCCUGAGCACAUGCUGUAGCAAAAGCACCAUGUGUCUGUAUUAGGCUUGUCUCCACAAGGAGGAAUGAAAUGAUCCCUGACGAAAACAGAACGUCUUCUGUCAAUAAUAUGCCUCACUCUCUUGAAAUUAUAUAAAGCACACUAUUUUAAGUACACAUUCAAUUACCAAAAAUCAUUUUAUUUUAGACAUUUUCAACAAUGAAAUUAUAAACUGUAUGCAUGUAUAGUCCAGUCCAUUGAACAAAACUAAAUUUUGCUUGAUGACUGAGAGACAUUAUUUAACAUCUUCCCUCUUGAGCUUUAUAGAGAACCUCAGAAUGGAAAGGAAUAUUAACAGAAGAGUCCUGGAGUUCCCCUCGUGGCACAGUGGUUAACGAAUCCGACUAGGAACCAUGAGGUUGCAGGUUUGGUCCCCGGCCUUGCUCAGUGGGUUAAGGAUCCAGUGUUGCCGAGAUCUGUGGUGUAGGUUGCAGACUCGGCUCGGAUGGCUCUUGCAGGUUUGGUCCCCGGCUGUGGUGUAGGCCAGCGGCUACAGGUCCAAUUCGACCCCUAGCCUGGCAACCUCCAUACGCCAUGGGAGCGGCCCAAGAAAUGGCAAAAAAGACCAAAAAAAACAAAAAACAAAAAA